CGGCAGCUCAGAGAUGGACGACAGUUUGGUAUUGGAGGUGACCUCUGAUACUUCAGAAGAGGCUGUGGUGGGCUUGUUUUUCUCCAGAGCGGCGUGCAUACUGACCACAGAUAGAAAAAACCACCAGUCAUGUGAAAGGCCGAGCCCACCCAGCCAAGGAACAACGGAGUGCCAAGGCCAUACCUGAAAAUGGUUACAUAAAUAUUGUGCAAGAUUAAUACACAAAGAUUUUUACCUGUAUUAAAAAGAUAACAGAUUUACAAUGAAAAGAAAGUAAUGGUUUCAAAGGUAAGGUGGGAAAUAUGCAUGUUUGUUUGAUUAGGCCUGUUAACUUACUCGAGUCCAGUCAGGCUAGAAUCGAAGUUUUUGAUUAUGACGUAAUCUGAAUACACGGCAUACCCACAUGUGGACAAUGCACCUGAGAGAAAAUCAUGUUGGAAAAUAUUAAUGGAGUAUCCAGUCGAUAAACUUUGUCACAUUUCUUAUAAUCAUUAGGUUUAGUGGAUAUUGUAAAGUUUCUCAUUUUGGCACUCAUGUACUCCAACGGAGGAUUGAAAGCUCCAGAAUGUUCACUGGAUAUCCUGUCAACUCAAUUUGGACAUCUUGUACAAUACUACUGCUGGAUUAUCUAAUAGCUUCAUUAAAUCCUUUUAUUUAU